UUGGUUAAGUUAGAAAGGGCGCACGGUGGAUGCCUUGGCACUAGGAGCCGAAGAAGGACGGGACUAACACCGAUAUGCUUUGGGGAGCUGUACGUAAGCGUUGAUCCAGAGAUUUCCGAAUGGGGGAACCCACUAUCUUUAGUCGGAUAGUAUCCUUACGUGAAUACAUAGCGUGAGGAAGGCAGACCCAGGGAACUGAAACAUCUAAGUACCUGGAGGAAGAGAAAGAAAAAUCGAUUUCCUGAGUAGCGGCGAGCGAAACGGAAAGAGCCCAAACCAAGAAGCUUGCUUCUUGGGGUUGUAGGACACUCUAUACGGAGUUACAAAAGAAAGUUAUAAAUGAAGCGGUCUGGAAAGGCCCGCCAAAGACGGUAACAGCCCGGUAGUUGAAAUGGCUUUCCCUCCAGAGUGGAUCCUGAGUACGGCGGAACACGUGAAAUUCCGUCGGAAUCCGGGAGGACCAUCUCCCAAGGCUAAAUACUCCCUAGUGACCGAUAGUGAACCAGUACCGUGAGGGAAAGGUGAAAAGCACCCCGGAAGGGGAGUGAAACAGUUCCUGAAACCGUGUGCCUACAAGUAGUUAGAGCCCGUUAAUGGGUGAUAGCGUGCCUUUUGUAGAAUGAACCGGCGAGUUACGAUUUGUUGCAAGGUUAAGCGGAAAAAGCGGAGCCGUAGCGAAAGCGAGUCUGAAUAGGGCGCAUAAGUAACAGGUCGUAGACCCGAAACCAGGUGAUCUACCCAUGUCCAGGAUGAAGGUAAGGUAAUACUUACUGGAGGUCCGAACCCACGCACGUUGAAAAGUGCGGGGAUGAGGUGUGGGUAGCGGAGAAAUUCCAAUCGAACUUGGAGAUAGCUGGUUCUCUCCGAAAUAGCUUUAGGGCUAGCCUCGAGGUAAAGAGUCAUGGAGGUAGAGCACUGUUUGGACUAGGGGCCCUUCUCGGGUUACCGAAUUCAGAUAAACUCCGAAUGCCAUGUACUUAUACUCGGGAGUCAGACUGCGAGUGAUAAGAUCCGUAGUCGAAAGGGAAACAGCCCAGACCACCAGUUAAGGUCCCCAAAUAUAUGUUAAGUGGAAAAGGAUGUGGGGUUGCUUAGACAACCAGGAUGUUGGCUUAGAAGCAGCCACCAUUGAAAGAGUGCGUAAUAGCUCACUGGUCGAGUGACCCCGCGCCGAAAAUGUACCGGGGCUAAACAUAUUACCGAAACUGUGGAUGAACCUCUUUAGAGGUUCGUGGUAGGAGAGCGUUCUAAGGGCGGUGAAGUCAGACCGGAAGGACUGGUGGAGCGCUUAGAAGUGAGAAUGCCGGUAUGAGUAGCGAAAGAAGGGUGAGAAUCCCUUCCACCGAAUAUCUAAGGUUUCCUGAGGAAGGCUCGUCCGCUCAGGGUUAGUCGGGACCUAAGCCGAGGCCGAUAGGCGUAGGCGAUGGACAACAGGUAGAGAUUCCUGUACCAGUGCUAAUUGUUUAACCGAUGGGGUGACACAGAAGGAUAGGGAAUCGCACGAAUGGAAAUGUGCGUCCAAGCAGUGAGUGUGAGAAGUAGGCAAAUCCGCUUCUCGCGAAGCAUGAGCUGUGAUGGGGAAGGAAAUUAAGUACGGAAGUUCCUGAUUUCACGCUGUCAAGAAAAGCCUCUAGGAAGAGUAGUACUGCCCGUACCGCAAACCGACACAGGUAGAUGAGGAGAGAAUCCUAAGGUGAGCGAGAGAACUCUCGU
rnacentral:rRNA from 1 species